ACAUGAGCUGGUGAAACAUGAAGAAAAUGGCCUGGUCUUUGAGGACUCAGAGGAACUGGCAGCUCAGCUGCAGAUGCUUUUCUCAAACUUUCCUGAUCCUGCAGGCAAGCUAAACCAGUUCUGGAAGAACCUGCGGGAGUCGCAGCAGCUCUGAUGGGAUGAGAGCUGGGUGCAGACUGUGCUCCCUUUGGUUAUGGACACAUAACUCCUGGGCCAGAGGCUAAAACCCCAGGGCCCCUGCUGUCCUUCCCGCAGCUUCUUCUUGGUGUCUCAGGGCAAACCCUUUCGAGCAGCGCCUCCCAGUGGCCGGAAGCUGAAAUGAAGGCAGUGGUGCCACCUGGUGAAUGACUCGGGAAGCUGUGGUUGGCCCUGAUUUCUUCUUUGGAGUCUCUGAAACGCUUCCUGUCUUCUGUUCUUCACGCCCCAUGCCCCUGCUAGCGUAUUACUGUUCUGUGACUUCCCUGUGACCUCUGCAGUACUCCUUACCCUGCAUUUGGUCUCCAGGUGUCACCUUUCUGCCAUGUUCCUAACACUUUGAUUCCUGUCUUGAAAAAAGCACCUGCUGCAUCAUAAACCCAGGGAUGUGGCAGCUGCAGCCGGCUUGGCUUUUUGAGGAACCGAGUGUGUCCAGGGAUGUGGCAGCUGCAGCGGGCUUGGCUUUGUGAGGAAACGAGUGUGUCCAGGGAUGUGGCAGCUGCAGCGGGCUUGGCUUUGUGAGGAAACGAGUGUGUCCAGGGAUGUGGCAGCUGCAGCGGGCUUGGCUUUGUGAGGAACCGAGUGUGUCCAGGGAUGUGGCAGCUGCAGCGGGCUUGGCUUUGUGAGGAAACGAGUGUGUCCAGGGAUGUGGCAGCUGCAGCGGGCUUGGCUUUGUGAGGAACCAAGUGUGUCCACGUUGGGGGAAUGUCAUACUUGAUACACACGUUUUUA
rnacentral:lncRNA from 1 species